rnacentral:rRNA from 1 species
UACAGAGGGUGCAAGCGUUGUUCGGAAUUAUUGGGCGUAAAGGGCGCGUAGGCGGUGCGGUAAGUCUGUAGUGAAAUCUAUGGGCUCAACUCAUAGUCUGCAUCGGAAACUGCCGGGCUUGAGUGUGGGAGAGGUGAGUGGAAUUCCACGUGUAGCGGUGAAAUGCGUAGAGAUGUGGAGGAACACCAGUGGCGAAGGCGACUCUCUGGGCUGUAACUGACGCUGAGGCGCGAAAGCGUGGGGAGCAAACAGG